rnacentral:lncRNA from 1 species
UUUCCCCUCUCAUUUCCUUCAAUCUUGUUUCCCCCAAUCUCCCUUCUCAACAACCAACGGCGAUUCCAGUGUCACUUGGAUUAGAAAUUUGGUAACACUUCCUUCCAGAGGCGAUUCCAGUGUCACUCGGCCAAUGUCAACUUGCCGCAACAGUUGACGGAGGUUCUACCCUCUCGCUGUUCAUUUCACACAGCUACGUAGGUAUGUCUAUUCUUCAUGUCUCCAAAUCUACUUUCUAUUCCAAGUACGUUAUUGGAUUUAGGUUGUUUUCAUAUGCUGAUCGAUCGUAUAGUAGAUGGUAUUUAAAAUCCAAUGUGGUCGGGGAGCCGAUUCCUCCGGUCCCAACGCUGGUCUGUCAUCUCUCUUCCGCAAUUCUUUUCUUCAUCCCUAUCAUCUUCGAUGCCGUAUUCCUCCGCGGUUCUUCUCAAUUCCAGUACCACCGAUUUUGUUUGUUCUCGUUCUGUUUUUACUCCGUGUUAAUCAAGAUUAUCAACAG